rnacentral:rRNA from 1 species
CGGGGGGCAGCAGUGGGGAAUAUUGGACAAUGGGCGAAAGCCUGAUCCAGCAAUGCCGCGUGAGUGAUGAAGGCCUUAGGGUUGUAAAGCUCUUUUACCCGGGAAGAUAAUGACUGUACCGGGAGAAUAAGCCCCGGCUAACUCCGUGCCAGCAGCCGCGGUAAUACGGAGGGGGCUAGCGUUGUUCGGAAUUACUGGGCGUAAAGCGCGCGUAGGCGGCUUUGUAAGUUAGAGGUGAAAGCCCGGAGCUCAACUCCGGAACUGCCUUUAAGACUGCAUCGCUAGAAUUGUGGAGAGGUGAGUGGAAUUCCGAGUGUAGAGGUGAAAUUCGUAGAUAUUCGGAAGAACACCAGUGGCGAAGGCGACUCACUGGACACAUAUUGACGCUGAGGUGCGAAAGCGUGGGGAGCAAACAGGAUUAGAUACCCGGGU